GCCAUCGUGGGGUGGGCCGGACUACUUUCUUCUACCUUUCCUUCUUUCUGUUGCACUAGCGUUGUUUACUGAACCUUGCUCCAGACACGUCUCAAAAUAUUCGUGAUGUACUAAUUUUUAUGUAUACAUAUGCGUAAAUGGUGCCAUAUGGUUGCAAGAGACAGGCUUGGAUGAUUAGGUUAGGUUGAUUCACUCUUCUGUUGCUUGUCCGACGGAGUUCAUCAUGUUUCUUGUGUUACUGUUUUCCAGAGAUAAGUUGCAAUUUCUUUAAGGAGAAAUAAGUUGCCGUUUCACUUUGCACAUGGUUGAUAUAUCAGGAUUCCGACUGCUCUCGCCCAUCUGUGAAUUCUUCUAAUCCUAGACCAAGAAAACAUACUGCCUGCAACUACUUUUUUUGGAAAUGGAGGUAUACCCCCGGCCACUGCAUCAUGAUGAUACAGCUCGCAAACGGAGCAAAACUGCCUGCAACUACUAAUGAAACGCAUCAGCCUUCUCGGACAAAGGUGUGGCAUAAAUAAGAAAUGCACUUUGAGGAAUUCCUCGGCUGGAGCUUGAAGCAAAAGUAGAAAAACUAAUCAAUGUAACCAGGUGCUGGUUGCUGAGU
rnacentral:lncRNA from 1 species